CACGUAGUUAGCCGGCGCUUCUUCUGCAGGUACCGUCACUCUCGCUUCUUCCCUACUGAAAGAGGUUUACAACCCGAAGGCCGUCAUCCCUCACGCGGCGUCGCUGCAUCAGGCUUCCGCCCAUUGUGCAAUAUUCCCCACUGCUGCCUCCCGUAGGAGUCUGGGCCGUGUCUCAGUCCCAGUGUGGCCGGUCACCCUCUCAGGCCGGCUACCCGUCGUCGCCUUGGUGAGCCAUUACCCCACCAACAAGCUGAUAGGCCGUGAGCCCAUCCAAAACCAGUAAAACCCUUUCCACCACCCACCAUGCGGUGGACGGUAGUAUCCAGUAUUAGACCCAGUUUCCCAGGCUUAUCCCAGAGUCAAGGGCAGGUUACUCACGUAUUACUCACCCGUUCGCCACUAAUCCGCCCAGCAAGCUGGGCAUCAUCGUUCGACUUGCAUGUGUUAAGCACGCCGCCAGCGUUCGUCCUGAGCCAGGAUCAAACUCU
rnacentral:rRNA from 1 species